rnacentral:rRNA from 1 species
UACGUAGGGGGCAAGCGUUGUCCGGAAUCAUUGGGCGUAAAGCGCGUGUAGGCGGUCCGGUAAGUCGGCUGUGAAAGUCCAGGGCUCAACCCUGGGAUGCCGGUCGAUACUGCCGGACUAGAGUUCGGAAGAGGCGAGUGGAAUUCCCGGUGUAGCGGUGAAAUGCGCAGAUAUCGGGAGGAACACCAAUGGCGAAGGCAGCUCGCUGGGACGUUACUGACGCUGAGGCGCGAAAGCGUGGGGAGCGAACAGG